rnacentral:rRNA from 1 species
CGGUAGCACAGAGAGCUUGCUCUCGGGUGACGAGUGGCGGACGGGUGAGUAAUGUCUGGGAAACUGCCUGAUGGAGGGGGAUAACUACUGGAAACGGUAGCUAAUACCGCAUAACGUCGCAAGACCAAAGAGGGGGACCUUCGGGCCUCUUGCCAUCAGAUGUGCCCAGAUGGGAUUAGCUAGUAGGUGGGGUAACGGCUCACCUAGGCGACGAUCCCUAGCUGGUCUGAGAGGAUGACCAGCCACACUGGAACUGAGACACGGUCCAGACUCCUACGGGAGGCAGCAGUGGGGAAUAUUGCACAAUGGGCGCAAGCCUGAUGCAGCCAUGCCGCGUGUAUGAAGAAGGCCUUCGGGUUGUAAAGUACUUUCAGCGGGGAGGAAGGUGUUGUGGUUAAUAACCGCAGCAAUUGACGUUACCCGCAGAAGAAGCACCGGCUAACUCCGUGCCAGCAGCCGCGGUAAUACGGAGGGUGCAAGCGUUAAUCGGAAUUACUGGGCGUAAAGCGCACGCAGGCGGUCUGUCAAGUCGGAUGUGAAAUCCCCGGGCUCAACCUGGGAACUGCAUUCGAAACUGGCAGGCUAGAGUCUUGUAGAGGGGGGUAGAAUUCCAGGUGUAGCGGUGAAAUGCGUAGAGAUCUGGAGGAAUACCGGUGGCGAAGGCGGCCCCUGGACAAAGACUGACGCUCAGGUGCGAAAGCGUGGGGAGCAAACAGGAUUAGA